rnacentral:rRNA from 1 species
UGAGGAAUAUUGGUCAAUGGGCGAGAGCCUGAACCAGCCACGUCGCGUGAAGGAAGACUGACCUUACGGUUUGUAAACUUCUUUUGUAGAGGGGUAAUGGCAGAUACGUGUAUUUGCGUGAAAGUACUCUACGACUAAGCAUCGGCUAACUCCGUGCCAGCAGCCGCGGUAAUACGGGGGAUGCGAGCGUUAUCCGGAAUUAUUGGGUUUAAAGGGUGCGCAGGUGGCUAAUCAGGUCAGUGGUGAAAAGCUAUGGCUCAACCAUGGUCUUGCCAUUGAAACCGUAUAGCUAGAGAGGAGACGAGGUAGGCGGAAUGUGUGGUGUAGCGGUGAAAUGCAUAGAUAUCACACAGAACUCCGAUUGCGAAGGCAGCUUACCAGGCUUUAUCUGACACUUAGGCACGACAGCGUGGGGAUCAAACAGG